rnacentral:rRNA from 1 species
AGCGAACGCUGGCGGCAGGCUUAACACAUGCAAGUCGAGCGGGCAUCCUUGUGGUGUCAGCGGCAGACGGGUGAGUAACGCGUGGGAACGUGCCCUUCGGUUCGGAAUAACUCAGGGAAACUUGAGCUAAUACCGGAUACGUGCGAGAGCAGAAAGGUUUAUCUGCCGAAGGAUCGGCCCGCGUCUGAUUAGCUAGUUGGUGAGGUUACGGCUCACCAAGGCGACGAUCAGUAGCUGGUCUGAGAGGAUGAUCGGCCACACUGGGACUGAGACACGGCCCAGACUCCUACGGGAGGCAGCAGUGGGGAAUAUUGGACAAUGGGGGCAACCCUGAUCCAGCCAUGCCGCGUGAGUGAUGACGGCCUUAGGGUUGUAAAGCUCUUUUCUCCGGGACGAUAAUGACGGUACCGGAGGAAUAAGCCCCGGCUAACUUCGUG